ACAACAUUUGGACCGUCGGUCUACAGAGAAAUUUUACCCGCUCAGUGAAAGAUCUUCCCUAUGUCGU
rfam:Bombyx mori DNA, contig: Bm_scaf80_contig32676, strain: p50T/Dazao, build 2, whole genome shotgun sequence.